GGCUGUAAAUUUAGCUUUUCACAAGUGAGAAAAAGACAUUUUCUUCAAUAACCUACACUGCCAACAUGACCACAAAAUGUGCGCAGAGUCAGCAUUUGUCCAUUUAAAUCAGACUUUUAAGCACAUGAUUCAGUUAACCACCAAAACGCAUUUAUGCAGGUGUGGGCAUUGUACUUAUUUGAAAGGAUUUAUUCAGUGAGUAGUGUAUUAUUUUCAUUGAGGGAUUUGGUUUUCAAUUCAUACUGCGUAACACAAAACUUCUUUGUAUUAUAGACUAACGUUGUGGGAUUUUGUUGGCUUUUGUUUGGUUGGUUUUUUGUCAUCAUUUGUUGGCUUUGUUUUGUUUCAUUUCCCCAAGUGAUAUGUUUUAAACUUUCUCAGUUCCUAUUUCUGCCUCUUAAUCCUAUAAGGUGCUUGGACUCUCCCGACGAGGAAUUCAUAGAACCACAGAAUGGCUUGGGUCCUUAAAGCCCAUUUAGAUCCAACCCCCCUCCAUGGGCUGGUUGCCACCCAGUAGAUGAAGCUGCCCAGGGUCCCAUCCAGCCUGUCCUUGAACAGCUCCAGUGAUGGGGCAUCCACAGCUUCUCUGGGCACCUGUGCCACUGCCAUUCCCAUGAUAUCACUCUCAUUCUGGUGAAAUUUACACAAGCCACUGUGAAAGAGUGUGCUCUGAUGCUACUUCUCCUGUAUGGAGCCUCCGUAGUGUGGGUUUGAUGCCAGACUGUCAUCCAGAAAUUUCAGUGUGUAGAAGAAACUGCUCAAAGGAAAGGAUGUGAAUGUGGACCGUACCCUCUCGUCCUCAGCUAGCUGCUGUUUAUGGCAGCAUGGAUAUGACAGGCUAUUGGAGUUGUGUCGAUGUGGAGUGCUGGUGUGGAUGGUGAUUCAGGGUGCGAGGUUCUGGAAGUGCUUUGAAGAAUCCUCUGGAUGAGCCAGUACCUGCAGUGACUGCAAAGAAGGUCUCGGGAUUUUGUGUCCCUCCACUUAGGUGGUGUGAGCGGUGAGCCACAAAGUUGCUGAUGCUUCAUGUACCCAAGGAGCAACCAAGAUCCAGGAUCACGGUGUCCGGCUGUCAGCAGAGAGCGGGGAGCAUUCACACAUGAACAAGUCUUCCUCUGAGAACUGGAAGCUGAAGCCUUCAUCAGAUAAAUGGCGUGCAUACAGGAGUAAGGAGCUGCCUGGAUCCAGAGGGCUGUGAGGACUGCAGCACAGAGCUGCCUGUGGAUACGUUUGCUGAGCCAUUUCAGGGGCAGGGAGGAGAGCUGAACUGAAUAAAAGCAGUCCCAUCUCUCAGAAGAACAUCUGGGUUUGAACAGUUUGGAACAGCCAGAGGUACCAGUAAAGGAGGCAGCGGCUGGCAGUGCCUCAUGGUUUCCUAACACCACUUCUCUGGGAUACAGGUGGCUUAGAACUGCAGUUCAAAGACACCGUAUAUCCUGCCCAAAGGCACAGGACUGUGGGGCAAGAGGAACAGAGGCAGGACAGGAGGAGAAGCAGCGAGGGACGCCCAGGGAAAGCAGUGAUAAGGAGAGCUGCUGUGCUGGGGUGGUGCAUCCACACUUGCUCCUUGGCAGCUUCUGAUGAGUGCAGG
ensembl:lncRNA